GAUGAACGCUGGCGGCGUGCUUAACACAUGCAAGUCGAACGAUGAAGCCCAGCUUGCUGGGUGGAUUAGUGGCGAACGGGUGAGUAACACGUGAGUAACCUGCCCUUAACUCUGGGAUACGCCUGGGAAACUGGGUCUAUUACCGGUUAGGAGCGUCCACCGCAUGGUGGGUGUUGGAAAGAUUUAUCGGUUUUGGAUGGACUCGCGGCCUAUCAGCUUGUUGGUGAGGUACUGGCUCACCAAGGCGACGCCGGGUAGCCGGCCUGAGAGGGUGACCGGCCACACGGGGACUGAGACACGGCCCAGACUCCUACGGGAGGCAGCAGUGGGGAAUAUUGCACAAUGGGCGCAAGCCUGAUGCAGCGACGCCGCGUGAGGGAUGACGGCCUUCGGGUUGUAAACCUCUUUCAGUAGGGAAGAAGCGAAAGUGACGGUACCUGCAGAAGAAGCACCGGCUAACUACGUG
rnacentral:rRNA from 1 species